AGUGUGAGCAUGCCUGUCGGGAC
rnacentral:siRNA from 1 species